AACCUCGUCCUCCCCGGCACAUGCACAAAACAUUGCCGGUCCCCUUCAACCUUGGCUCAUGCUCUCCGCUCUCCAUUCCUCCCCCUUCCUAUGAAUAAUACUGAAAAGACCAUAUUUUUAAUAUAUAUACAUAACAUUUCUAAUCUAAUUGUUACUCUGUUAAAUAAUUAAACCAACAAUUAUUGAUCCGUAAUGCCUAUAUUUUUAAUCUAAAAUAAGACUUGUAUAAAAUAAAGUAGAAAAGUAGAAAAAAAGUCAAUAGGGAUUGAAUCAAAUCAAUUAGAGAGAAUAUAGUAAUAAAUUUCUAAAAAAUAGAAAAUUGGAACAACCAUUGUAUGUUCCAUUGCCAUAACCAUCCAUCUGUCGUGGUAUUAUGAGUUUCUCAUAUAUUAUUGCAUAUAUAAGACAUACUAAGGUAGCCAGACGUAGUAGUACUUAGUUGGUUAAAAAGUUAUAUAUGUGCUACUAUCAACUUUAAAUUUAGGACUCAUAUUGCCUAGGUAUUUUUUUUAAAAGAACACCAUAAAUCACAUAUAUAAAAGGGAAAGGACGCAUACAAUAUAUAUAUCUCCUAUGUAUUUAUUGUCUCAUUCUUUCAAGAAAAUAAAGAAGAUCAUUGAUAAUUGCUUAUAGUAAUGAAUUAAAUAUUAUAUAGUUCAAACCUUACAAAUGUCUUGUAAAACAAUAUCUAAGCAAUAGCGAUGAAGAAAAUUUAUAAAGAAAUACUCCCUCCGUCCCAAAUUAUACCAACUAUAAUCAAACUCGGUAGCUUUUAACUAAUAAGCAUAGUAGCUAUAUCUAAGUAUUAUGCAUGUUACAUCACUAGAUUUAUAUUUUGAAGUACUUUCAUGUGAUGCUAAUUUCAUAUUUGUUGGGAUAGAAUGGAAUAAAGUACUGGUCAAAAUAUGUUAUUAAAACCUGUGUAAAAAAAAUAGGUCUUAUAAUUUGAGACAGAGGGAGUAGUAUUUUUCAAGCAUAGCAGGUAUCAUCCGAUUGAUAUUCCCAGUGUAACCUACUUUACAUGCCCGGGCGAAUGCGCGGGCUACCUUCCUAAUUAUGCUAAAACGAGUCCUUUUUUGGUUUCUAUUGUUUUCAAGGAUAGGAAGAUGUUGUUUGCUAUGUAUUAAUAGACACAGAGUAAAAAAGUACAAAAUAUUGGGGGGGGGGGGCGAAUAAAAAUAUGAUACUCUCCCCCAGUCCCAACAUUGGAAGAUUUCUGGGUUCUCACGCUAGCUGUAUAUAAAUACACCUAGGACAAUACUCAUAUUCCUCGCUUACUAACAAUGUCAAAUUCUCAAACCUCGAGUCUAUUACAAACACAAAGGGUACACUUUUAGUAGAUAUCGGUAGAAAAGGAAAUAUAUUGUGAAUAGGAGGACACGGGAUGAAGUCUGUCAGCAAUGAUGAAGGCGCUCUAGUUCCUUGGUCACUAGCACGAACAACAACGCAAAAUCCCAUUAGGGUAUUCCCAACCCUCCACCUCAGAUGGUUGUCUAUAGAAUCUAUUAGGCUGCCACAUAAGCAAAAUUCUGAUGUGGCAAGGUAAUUAAAGAAGUGAGGGAAGAAAAAAGAGAGAAACGGUGUCUCAUGCACAAAACCGGAUCGGCGCAGGCACCAAGACUCAGGAAACGAGAGAAAUCAGCGUUGGGGCAACUCAUUGUUUCUUCUGUCCGGAUUUUUCUCAAGCUCCUGAUCUUCUAUGCCUGUUCGGUACUACUACUCUGUAGAUUGAUGUUGAUCUUUGGGUAUAUGUAUUGAUGAGUGCCACAAUUGAUCCUUCUCUAUUCAUAUGACAUGCAAAGAGUCAUUAAAUUUUCUUGUCUAUAAAAACUGCUAUAGACACUAUGCAUUGGAGAGGUAGUGUCUACAUACAUUUAUUAUUGUUUCUGUUGUCUAGACACUAUCUAUAGACACCAUGGGUUAGGAUUGCCCUUACAGUCAGCACGCAACAUAGAACAUGCCGCCAUCCAUCACAUAUGUACUGCAUUUUGGGGCUGCUCUUGAUUAUGUAUGAUAUGCUUAGUGAUGAGCUGCCUUGGAGAUGUUACGAGCUCCUGUACUCAUACCAAUGGCCCCCAAGAGAUCAAUGUCCAUGAAAUAACCCAAGACCAUGCACCGGGAAUCGCUGCGGGAGGAAGAUUGGAAGCGAGCGUGGCACCUUUGUAGAGCGAGGACUCCGGAGAAGGGAAUUGGGAUUUCGGUUUUCCUACUUAGGGCUACUGUUGGAUCUUUUUUUUACAUAAAACUUAAAAGAAAACUUGAUUGGGAACAAAGACGGGAUUCUGUUGUGCAUUCUCUUAGAUGCGAGAGGUUAUAAGUGUAUAAAAAUAAGCACUUGGAUUGUCUAUGCCACGUGAUUCCGUCAGGUUUUUUCAUACAUGCAUUUUGGGUUGCACUUAGUUUUUUUUCCCAUUUUUCAGAUAUUAGAUUGCACUUAUUGUCGCCUGGAAAGAAGUUGGCUAAUGAUCUACUACGCUGCAGAGUUAGCUGAACACGAUGAAAGAUGAUUGAACUUACUACUCAUCAACAUGGUGCCUUGAACCCUUUUGCCCAAGAACAGCUACAGUGGUUACAUGAAAAGAAAUAAAUCUGCAACCUUAGUUUCAUGUUACAACUAUUGCAAAACAUUUAUUGAAAUUUACACAUGAAGAAUGGAAAAAAUAUAAUAUGCGCAUGCUUAAUUACAUUCCAUGGGCAGUUUCACUCUUGUGUUCUAUAUAUAAAAGUUGAAAAAAAUACUAAUAACAUCCUGACGAAGGGAGGGCCCAAGCAUAGUUAUAUGAAUAUUUGUGACUAAACUUGGGUAUUUAAAGGACACCGAAAUGAUAAACUUUGCAGUAAUCAUUAGUCAUAUGAACAGACAGAUUUUCGUGUCUCGGUGGAAUUGAAAUGUUGAGAACUUAAUGCCCACCUAAUUACCAUGUGUUUGGCUUCAAUGCCUUGGCACUGCCACUUUUAUUACUCAUCCUUGCUACAGUUAAGUAUACUAGCUAGCUAGGAGACUAGAGUGAUGAUAUAUAGCUAUAGAGGGGAAAAUUUGUGAAGAGUGGAAAUAAACCAACAAACAAUUUAACUCGCGAAAACACUUCUGGUCCAAAAAUGGUUCAAUUUUAGUUGGUAUCGAUAUGAUAUAAAAGAAAAUACGUUGUGAAUGGGAGGACACGGGAAGAAGUAUGUUGUUCGGGAUGAAGGGGCACUAAUCGAUUGGCCAUUAUCACCAGUAGCAAAGCAACUUGAAGCUACAGUCAGCACACAACAAACAAUCAGUCACGUAUGUACCGCAUGUUGGAUCUGUCUGGAUUAUCUGUGCUGCCUUGGUCCUUGGAGAUGCUACGAAAUCAUCGUCACAUCCGAUUGGCAGAACAGAAGAUGAAGGCCCAACCCAACACCACAUCUCAAAAGCUCAGCAGGAUAAACAUUGGAAUAUCGAAAUGUUUUACCCUAUUACACUGGUUGCUUCUAAAAAAAAGUGUGGAACAUCAGUUUGUGUUAAAACUGUUCCAAAAACACUUCAUGAAUAGGAAGAUGAUCUUGUGUGCAUACCUUCCUUAAGGCGUCAAUGUUUAGUUCCAUACAUAAAAAAAUUAAAAAAAAUACACAAAACA